rnacentral:rRNA from 1 species
AUUGAACGUUGGCGGCAGGCUUUAGACAUGCAAGUCGAGCGGAAACGAUACCUUCGGGUAGGCGUCGAGCGGCGGACGGGUGAGUAACGCGUAGGAAUCUACCCAGUAGCGGGGGAUAGCCCGGGGAAACUCGGAUUAAUACCGCAUACGCCCUAUGGGGGAAAGAUGGCCUCUUCUUGAAAGCUAUCGCUAUUGGAGGAGCCUGCGUUGGAUUAGCUAGUUGGUGGGGUAAAGGCCUACCAAGGCGACGAUCCAUAGCUGGUCUGAGAGGACGAUCAGCCACACUGGGACUGAGACACGGCCCAGACUCCUACGGGAGGCAGCAGUCGGGAAUAUUGGACAAUGGGCGCAAGCCUGAUCCAGCCAUGCCGCGUGUGUGAAGAAGGCCUUAGGGUUGUAAAGCACUUUCAGGAGUGAAGAAAGGCGUUGGGUGAAUAAUCUGACGUUUUGACGUUAGCUCCAGAAGAAGCACCGGCUAACUCCG